AUGGCUGGAUUCGCUGAUUCAUUGAGGCCGGAUAAGUUUACCGGUGUGCACUUUAAGAGGUGGCAGGUGAAGACCACGCUCUGGCUUACUGCUUUGGAAGUUUUCCACGCUAGUGUUGGUGCUCCAGAGGGAAUGACCGACGAAGAUCAAAGAAAAUUCCAGGAAACCAAUACUAUGUUUGUGGGAUGCAUUCUGAGUGUUCUUGCUGACCGUCUGUGUGAUGUGUACAUGCACAUAGCCGACGGAAAAAUUCUGUGGGAUGCACUGAAUGCAAAAUUCGGUGCAACAGAUGCAGGCAGUGAAUUGUACAUCAUGGAGAGUUUUCAUGACUACAAGAUGGUGAAUAACCGUUCUGUGGUUGAACAAGCUCAUGAGAUACAGUGCAUUGUGAAGGAACUUGAACUCCUUAAAUGUGUUCUACCCGACAAAUUCGUGGCUGGGUGCAUGAUUGCAAAGUUGCCUCCUUCAUGGAGGAAUUUCGCCACAACUCUGAAGCAUAAGAGACAAGAGAUAUCAGUUGAAAAUCUGAUUGCAUCUCUUGAUGUUGAAGAAAAAGCUCGGGCUAAAGAUACCACUGAAAAAGGAGGUGAGGUUCAUCCUACUGCUAACAUGGUGCAGAGGUACCCACAGAACAAGAACAAAGUGAAGAACAAAUCUGUUUUCAACAAGCCUACCAAGACUACUACCUUCAAGAAGAAGAAGUUCAACAAGGCUGAGCUAGAGUGCUACGUCGCAAGGGAUUCUUCCGUCCUAAUGGGGAAUGGGUCACAUGCUUCUGUUCGUGGCAUUGGCACGGUGGAUCUGAAGUUUACUUCGGGAAAGAUCGUGCAACUAAGGAACGUGCAGCAUGUCCCUACUAUGAACAAGAAUCUAGUUAGCGGCUCCCUUCUAUGUCGAGAUGGAUUUAAGGUAGUUUUAGAGUCCAAUAAAGUAAUCGUGUCAAGAUUUGGACAAUUUAUAGGAAAAGGCUAUGAGUGCGGAGGCUUGUUCCGCUUUUCUCUUUUAGAUUUUUGCAAUAAGUCAAUAAACCAAAUUUGUGCUAGUGUUAAUGAUGAUGCAAGUAUUUGGCACUCUCGUUUAUGUCAUAUUAAUUUUGGUUUAAUGUCUCGGCUAUCCAGCAUGAGUUUAAUUGCGAACUUCACAGUUGCCAAAGGUUCUAAGUGCCAUAGUUGUGUGCAAUCUAAGCAACCUCGAAAGCCUCAUAAGGCUGCCGAGCAGAGAAACUUGGCACCUCUAGAACUCAUACAUUCUGAUCUUUGUGAGAUGAAUGGUGUGUUGACAAAAGGUGGAAAGAAAUAUUUCAUGACUUUGAUUGAUGAUGCGACUAGAUUUUGCUAUGUUUAUUUGUUGCAAACUAAAGAUGAAGCAUUAGACUACUUUAAAAUCUAUAAAGCUGAAGUUGAAAAUCAACUAGAGAGAAAGAUCAAGCGUCUUAGGUCCGAUCGUGGUGGAGAGUAUUUUCCAAAAGUUUUUGAUGAAUUUUGUGAGGAACAUGGUAUUAUUCAUGAGAGGACGCCUCCCUAUUCACCUCAAUCAAAUGGAGUGGCCGAGAGGAAAAACCGCACAUUGACUGACUUGGUGAAUGCCAUGUUAGACACUGCUGGUUUAUCUAAGGCAUGGUGUGGGGAGGCUCUAUUGACUUCAUGUCAUGUCCUGAAUAGAGUUCCUAACAAUAAUAAAGAGUAA
rnacentral:rRNA from 1 species